rnacentral:rRNA from 1 species
AACUAACGCUGGCGGCGUGCCUAACACAUGCAAGUCGUACGAGAAAGCCGGCUUCGGCUGGUGAGUAAAGUGGCGCACGGGUGAGUAACGCGUGGAUAAUCUGCCCUUAAGUGUGGAAUAACGUACCGAAAGGUGCGCUAAUACCGCAUAAUGCCUGGCAACACAAGUUGUCCGGCCAAAGAAGGCCUCUGUUUACAAGCUUUCGCUUCAGGAUGAGUCCGCGUACCAUUAGCUUGUUGGUGGGGUAAUGGCCUACCAAGGCUGCGAUGGUUAGCUGGUCUGAGAGGAUGAUCAGCCACACUGGAACUGAGACACGGUCCAGACUCCUACGGGAGGCAGGCAGUGAGGAAUAUUGCGCAAUGGGGGCAACCCUGACGCAGCAACGCCGCGUGAGUGAGGAGGUUUUCGGACUGUAAAGCUCUGUCGAGCGGGAAGAAGUGUACCAUGGCUAAUAUCCAUGAUAUUUGACGGUACCGACGUAGAGGAACG